GGGGUUGUGGCUCAGUGGUAGAGUGCUUGCCUAUCAUGUAUGAGGUAUUGGGUUCAAUUCUCAGCACCA
rfam:Ictidomys tridecemlineatus contig031250, whole genome shotgun sequence.